CCCAUCCUUCCUCCACUCUUCACCAAUAAACCUUCACUCACCUGGGCCUGCAAGAACUUAUUCUGGUGAUCUUUGGAUUUGGACAGGCUUGUUUUGUUCUCUGAACUCCUCCAGGCUGCAUCUCCAUCGAUUGGUUUCAUCUCAGAACUGUUUUCACAUGUGAAUAUCUUCAGCAGAGUAUCCAAACAACAUCCUGCAGCUUCUACAUCUCGUGCUCUCACCUCCACACACGAAACUGGAAGAUUGCUUUUGUGUAGAACUCAACAGGUGUACACGUGUGCAGAUACGAUUUUGAUGUUAUCCCUGGUUGUUUUGGUGCAUGUGGACAUCCAG
rnacentral:lncRNA from 1 species